UCAAGGUAGAAGUAGCAACAUAAAAUAAUUACAAUUACACUUCUCUGAACUUCAUUUAAAUGCAAACAUAGGUCUUGCUAUGAACAUGAAAAUGUCUCUCUAUAUGAUUCCUCUAGCGGUAUACAAGGAGAACAAUGAUCUAGCAUAGCAAUGUCUAUAAUGAAAAAUGGCAUGGCCGAAUGAACACAUGGUCCUAACUAUGAUGAUCAUGCAAAACAUAUCACAAUG
rnacentral:lncRNA from 1 species